UAUGUAAAUUCAUACCACAUAGCAUUAAUGCAUUGGAUCCCAUUAGAACUCUACAGUUAAGCAUUCUCAGGCUAAAGUAGUACUAGUAUGGGUGACCGCCCGAGAAGUCCUAGUUUUAACAUGC
rnacentral:rRNA from 1 species